GGAAAAAAGGUACCUGACUUCACAAGGACUUCUUGUUGCCACUAUCCAGAGAGGCAGCACCGGGAGACAGGGCAAGCACGGACCUGGCUGUCAGCAAACCUGGGUUCCAGGCCAAGCCCCACCAGGAGGAGCUGGGAAGCCCUGGCUGACUGCCAGCCCCAGGUAAAGGGAACUCCUCCAUUCUCAGCCCAUGUGGUUUGAGAGGGCUGACUCACCUCCAGCUCCACGGUGGGCAUGAAGCCCAGGCAUAUGCCCACAAGCAGCUGUCCACAAUGACAAGUUCGAGGAUGGGCACGAGGUCCAAUACUGCCAACGAGAGUUAGGCCUGGGGCAUUACAUGCAUCUGUUGGAAUGAAAAAAGCAUGUUCUACUUCUGGAGUCACUCUGGAAGUGGAGCCUAGAGCCACUGACGGCCGUUUUAUCACAUGGAGAAGAAACCUGCUUAAGAAUGGAGCCAAAGGAAAGCAGGGCCAAGAGAUGGCUCCAGACUGGACUCUGGUCACAUCAUCUGAGUCCCUGAGACCAGUAUUAACCCUUGACCUUUCAAGUAUGUAAGUCAAUAAAGGUCUGUGUUGCUUU
rnacentral:lncRNA from 10 species